rnacentral:lncRNA from 1 species
UAUAAAAAUUUCAGAAAAAAAUCAAACAUUUGUUUUUCAUUACAAAUUUUAUUUAUUUCCUUUUGUAGUUGUUACUUUAUCAUAUGGUACAAAAAUCAUUCAAAACAAUCAAUUCGUGUUGGCCCAAAAUGACUUUCAAAAUGUAUACAUCAUUGAAAAAGUUCCAAAUUAUCUCCCUUUGGUGGAAAAAUGCCAUUUUUUGGCUCUAAAAUUGAAAUAUCUUUUCCAACUCAUCGGUGACAUAUCUUUUUUUAAUAUAAUUUCCAUAUAAGCUGUACUUAAACUAAAUUAUUGUAAAAUUUUAGCGAUUUCUGUAAUAAAUUUCCUUUUUU